CUGCUGUUUGCGGUUGAGCACUUCCGCCCGUAGAUAUAAUGGUACAAGAUACGCCAGCGCUGUAGUAGCCCGGCUAACAGGCGUGCCUACGUCGCGGCCAUGUUGGGGAGGUCGACGUGCCCAUCGAAGGCAAUUUAAAUAAACUUCAACGGGGAGUGGCAUUAAACAGUUUGAAGCCUCUUUCUUUUUCAAGAAAUGUUCACUAUCUGCCAAGCUGCUACUUGUGAAAUGCUGAGUGUUUUCUUAAGGGAGUGGCUGCCAGGUAACGGACACCUGUCCCCCGCCCCCUGCACCCUCUCCCUCCCUGUGGGGGUGGGGGUGCAGGAUAAUUUGACUUGAGGGCAACAACAUAGAAGAGGACAACACAAGUAUCAUUUGUCUUCAGGCAAGUGCAAGGACAUUUUUGGGGCAGGUGCUCAAGCUAAAACAAAAGACACCCAUCACCAAAAUUAUUCAUUCAAUUAAGGAAAAAAACAGUACUGUAUACGGAUUGUGUAUUUAUUUCUGUUAACACAAUCAACAUAUUCAAUAAUACAACUAUUAACAAAAGAGGUGAAGGGAAGGUACGGUGGAUAUAAAAAGUCUACACCCUCC